AACAUUGGACCCUAAACAGAACCAAUGAUAAACCUGUGAGCUCACAAGCACACUUCUGGAGAACCUGGCUACCAGAGAAGUGUUACUUCCAAGCUGUAAAAUCACUCAGCAAUGCUGCUUGCCUGACAGAGGAAUGGAACAACUUGCUGAAGGAGUAGCAGAAACACUGACUUGGAGGUGAUGACUUGCAAGAAAAGAGAGUCAUCCUCCAAGAUGUCAGGUGCUGAAGUAUUUAUCUCAGGCCACUCUUAGCUGCCAGUCCUCCUUACGAAUUACCUAAAGCUAAGACAAUUUUUUCAUCCAAGGUCACACUCCCUUGUUGGGGAAGCCCACAUCCAAUUACUGGUCAGUGUGGGAGUGUAAAAGCUGGUUCUUUCCCUUCAAUGUGGUACAAUGUGAGGGGCCAUCUUUGCUUCAGCUCUUCAUUGGCUGAGACUUUCAUGGAGAUGACGUUGUAACCCAGUUUGUGUCCAAUCCUGC
rnacentral:lncRNA from 1 species